UCUAAUUAUAAUUUCUAUCUGAUACUGGAGUGUGUGGUUACAGAAUGAAAUACCAUUUUGAACCAGGAAAACUUACUUCUGGUUUUAAAAUAUUUCAGAGCCAAGGGAAGCAGUGAGUGAAUGUGCGACCCUGGGAAACCACGCCUCUUCCACGGAACUUUGCACCCGUCGGAUCAGGAGAGCCCUUGAGAGCCCACCUCCAGGGCCUUGGGUCUGACGCACAGACCUGUGUGGAGUCUGGACAGAGCAGCUGCUCGGGAAUGCACAGAGACCCAGGAGCUUUCCAUACUCUAGCCCUGGGCUCCCUGACGAAGGCGAUGGAACUCAAACAAGGCGGAAGGUCCAUACAUACCCCUAGAAAGGGAGCUGAAUCCAGGGGGCUGAGUGGCAUCAGUACGCAGGCCCCACUUCCACAGCACCUCACAAAAUAAGACCCCCUGGCGUGGAAUUCCAGCCAGCCACUGGCACCAGGGUGGAGCUUGCCUGAGACAGGACGGAGCCCUGGAGGAGAGGGGCAGGCGGUCAUCUUUGCUGUUUGGAUAACUGAGCUGUUCCAGCCUGCUGGCUUUGGAGAGUCCAAACAGUCUGCACCAGGAAGGGUCACCCCAACGCAGCACAGCGGCUUUGCCAGCUUGUGGCCAGGCUGCUUCUUUAAGUGGGACGCUGACCUACUUACUCCUCCCUGUGGGGUAGGCCCUCCCAGCCAGGGCCUCUGGCCACCCCCACUGGUGUUCUGGGGACGGAGUUCUGAUUUCUCCCUGGGAGGCCGUGCCCAGCGGGAGGGGCGUGCCGCCAUCUUUGCUGUUUGGAAAACGGCCAUUCCAGCCUGCGAGCUUUGGAGAGACCAAGCCCCCUGAGGCAGAGGCCGCGCCUCAGCAUGUUACAGCUGUUUUGUUGAGGUGUGGUGAGGUUGCUUCUUUAAAUGCGACCCUGAUACAUUCCUCCUCCCUGGGCAGGUCCUUCCCUCUGGAGCCUCCAGCCACCCCUGCCUGUGUUCUGUUGCGGAAAGACUUCUAAUUUCUCCUUGGGGCAGAGUGCCUGCGGAGUGGGGCGGGCCGCCGCCUUGGCUGUUUGUGAAGCGGCAUCGUUGUCUGGGGUAUGAUUUAAUACACUUUACCGACCUGAAUUCAUUGGAUAUAUGUAAAAAUGAAGGAAUGCACGUUAUUCUGCUUGAUGCUCUGCAGAGAGGAGCUGCCUGAGAGGUUGCACCUGCAGUCCUGGAUGCACUGGCCCCAGGGGUGGUUGGUGCUGACUCCACAUUUGUCUAAUAAGAUGUCCAGAUACAAAAAUGUCUGUGAUGUGGGAACCGUUACAGAUCUAGGAGAGUUUUUUCAACAGCAAAAAAAGCAAAGCCUGUUUCUGUCAAAGUCUUUUAUUUUAUUUUUGAAUUUGACCUUUUAAAAUAAGAUUAAAACAUUCCAUCAAGACUCCC
rnacentral:lncRNA from 1 species